rnacentral:rRNA from 1 species
UGCUGGAGGUAUCAGAAGUGCGAAUGCUGACAUAAGUAACGAUAAAGCGGGUGAAAAGCCCGCUCGCCGGAAGACCAAGGGUUCCUGUCCAACGUUAAUCGGGGCAGGGUGAGUCGACCCCUAAGGCGAGGCCGAAAGGCGUAGUCGAUGGGAAACGGGUUAAUAUUCCCGUACUUGGUGUUACUGCGAAGGGGGGACGGAGAAGGCUAUGUUGGCCGGGCGACGGUUGUCCCGGUUUAAGCGUGUAGGCUGGUUUUCCAGGCAAAUCCGGAAAAUCAAGGCUGAGGCGUGACGACGAGGCACUACGGUGCUGAAGCAACAAAUGCCCUGCUUCCAGGAAAAGCCUCUAAGCAUCAGGUAACAUCAAAUCGUACCCCAAACCGACACAGGUGGUCAGGUAGAGAAUACCAAGGCGCUUGAGAGAACUCGGGUGAAGGAACUAGGCAAAAUGGUGCCGUAACUUCGGGAGAAGGCACGCUGACACGUAGGUGAAGUGAUUUACUCAUGGAGCUGAAGUCAGUCGAAGAUACCAGCUGGCUGCAACUGUUUAUUAAAAACACAGCACUGUGCAAACACGAAAGUGGACGUAUACGGUGUGACGCCUGCCCGGUGCCGGAAGGUUAAUUGAUGGGGUCAGCGCAAGCGAAGCUCCUGAUCGAAGCCCCGGUAAACGGCGGCCGUAACUAUAACGGUCCUAAGGUAGCGAAAUUCCUUGUCGGGUAAGUUCCGACCUGCACGAAUGGCGUAAUGAUGGCCAGGCUGUCUCCACCCGAGACUCAGUGAAAUUGAACUCGCUGUGAAGAUGCAGUGUACCCGCGGCAAGACGGAAAGACCCCGUGAACCUUUACUAUAGCUUGACACUGAACAUUGAGCCUUGAUGUGUAGGAUAGGUGGGAGGCUUUGAAGUGUGGACGCCAGUCUGCAUGGAGCCGACCUUGAAAUACCACCCUUUAAUGUUUGAUGUUCUAACGUGGACCCGUUACCCGGGUUGCGGACAGUGUCUGGUGGGUAGUUUGACUGGGGCGGUCUCCUCCUAAAGAGUAACGGAGGAGCACGAAGGUUGGCUAAUCCUGGUCGGACAUCAGGAGGUUAGUGCAAUGGCAUAAGCCAGCUUGACUGCGAGCGUGACGGCGCGAGCAGGUGCGAAAGCAGGUCAUAGUGAUCCGGUGGUUCUGAAUGGAAGGGCCAUCGCUCAACGGAUAAAAGGUACUCCGGGGAUAACAGGCUGAUACCGCCCAAGAGUUCAUAUCGACGGCGGUGUUUGGCACCUCGAUGUCGGCUCAUCACAUCCUGGGGCUGAAGUAGGUCCCAAGGGUAUGGCUGUUCGCCAUUUAAAGUGGUACGCGAGCUGGGUUUAGAACGUCGUGAGACAGUUCGGUCCCUAUCUGCCGUGGGCGCUGGAGAACUGAGGGGGGCUGCUCCUAGUACGAGAGGACCGGAGUGGACGCAUCACUGGUGUUCGGGUUGUCAUGCCAAUGGCACUGCCCGGUAGCUAAAUGCGGAAGAGAUAAGUGCUGAAAGCAUCUAAGCACGAAACUUGCCCCGAGAUGAGUUCUCCCUGAGACUUUAAGUCUCCUGAAGGAACGUUGAAGACGACGACGUUGAUAGGCCGGGUGUGUAAGCGCAGCGAUGCGUUGAGCUAACCGGUACUA